rnacentral:rRNA from 1 species
UGAAAAUCCUGUAGAUGAUAUGGACUACCAGUACUCUUGUGAUACGGUUUCUAAGAGUCGAGUUGUUUGGGAAUGCAGCUCAAAGUGGGUGGUAAAUUCCAUCUAAGGCUAAAUAUAAGUGAGAGACCGAUAGCAAACAAGUACCGUGAGGGAAAGAUGAAAAGAACUUUGAAAAUAGAGUUAACAGUACGUGAAAUUGCUGAAAGGUAAACGUUUGAAGUUAGUUUUGUAUUCGUUGGAUCAGCUUCGCAAGGAGUGUAUUCUGAUGAUAAGCAAGUCAACAUCAGUCUAUGAGUGUUGGAGAAGGGUUUUGAGAAUGUAGCAAUUUAAUUGUGUUAUAGCUUGAGACUUGGAUACGAUGCUUUGGAUUGAGGAACGCGUAGUAAGCUUUGAGCGGAUUCGAAAGGAUCUCCUUACUAUGGAUGUU